rnacentral:rRNA from 1 species
UACGUAGGGUGCAAGCGUUGUCCGGAAUUAUUGGGCGUAAAGAGCUCGUAGGCGGUCUGUCGCGUCUGCUGUGAAAACUCAGGGCUUAACCCUGAGCUUGCAGUGGGUACGGGCAGACUAGAGUGCGGUAGGGGAGACUGGAAUUCCUGGUGUAGCGGUGAAAUGCGCAGAUAUCAGGAGGAACACCGGUGGCGAAGGCGGGUCUAUGGGCCGUAACUGACGCUGAGGAGCGAAAGCAUGGGGAGCGAACAGG